rnacentral:rRNA from 1 species
UAAUACGUAGGGUGCGAGCGUUAAUCGGAAUUACUGGGCGUAAAGCGUGCGCAGGCGGCUUUGCAAGACAGAGGUGAAAUCCCCGGGCUCAACCUGGGAACUGCCUUUGUGACUGCAAGGCUAGAGUACGGCAGAGGGAGAUGGAAUUCCGCGUGUAGCAGUGAAAUGCGUAGAUAUGCGGAGGAACACCGAUGGCGAAGGCAAUCUCCUGGGCCUGUACUGACGCUCAUGCACGAAAGCGUGGGGAGCAAACAGG